AUUGAACGCUGGCGGCAGGCCUAACACAUGCAAGUCGAACGAGUGGCGGACGGGUGAAUAAUUUCUGGGAAACUGCCUGAUGGAGGGGGAUAACUACUGGAAAAGGUAGCUAAUACCGCAUACCAUCAGAUGUGCCCAUAUGGGAUUAGCUUGUUGGGGGGUAAACGGCUCACAAAGGAGACGAUCCCUCGCUGGUCUGAUAGGAUGACCAGGCACACUGGAACGGAGACACGGUCCAGACUCCGACGGGAGGCAGCAGUGUGGAAUAUUGCACAAUGGGCGCAAGCCUGAUGCAGCCAUGCCGCGUGUAUGAAGAAGGCCUUCGGGUUGUAAAGUACUUUCAGCGGGGAGGCGUUACCCGCAGAAGAAGCACCGGCUAACUCCGUGCCAGCAGCCGCGGUAAUUC
rnacentral:rRNA from 1 species